GUUCAUUUUAAAACACAGCUAAUACGGACUGAAAGCUAAAAUUGUAGAAAACAGUCAUGGUUUAUACUUGGUUGAUGCAGCAUCAAAAUUGAGUGUGCUCCCACUGAAUGAACUGGACAUGAUUAUUAGUGGAAACCCUUGUUGAAUUAUCCAUCUAAACAAAGCCUAGCUGUUUUGUUUUCUAAACAGAACUACUAGAAAGGACACAUUAAAUAUUGCCAUCUUGGGCAUUUCGGGAAAUUCAAAGUUUGGUAUGGCUAAAGUUUGUUAGUUAUUCCUGUAAAAGACAGUGGUAAGUUUUCAAAUUGGAAUGCUGUUUGAAAUGCUUUAGCACUAAACUUCAAGACUAUGAAAUGGUCUAAUUUAAAAAAAUUAUUUCUUUUGGAAAGACAAAAAGAUAUUUGCUGCUAUUGCUACAGUUAUGCUGUAUAUAUGCAAAUAAAAAAUAAUCUACUGAGAAAAAGAUGAAGAUGAUGGUUGCAAAUGGUUUUAUUGUGUAAACACAGCCAUACUCUUCAAAUUAAUUAUGACAGUGUUAACUUUUAUUGUUCAUUCUCAUGUAAAAAUUUCAAAAAUGCUACAAUGCUGAAAAAGAGUAGCUGAGGGAGAUCAAAGAGGAUCAAAAACAAUUGAAACCUCUGGUGUCUUAGCAGUUAUCAAAGAAAAUCACAUAUCUCCCAAGACAUUCAAUACUUAUUUAUUUCAAUAAAAACACACAGCUGAAGCCAAAAAAAGAAAAAAGAUACCACAGUAAAACGUUAUUUUUGCUCUGUAGUUUCACCCAGGAGCUUUUCAAAUGUGUAAAGAGCUGCUUAUCUUAUUUAAAAAAUUAUUACAGAACCCUAAAACUAAACUUUUACUUUUCCUACUAAUUACCUAUUUUUGUCAUUGUCGAGCUCCAAUUACAAAAGGUCCAUGUUAGCCACGUCUAUUUCAUUUUAUUUCCAGCACAAUUUUUUGUAAUAGCCCUAUCAAAAUAUUAAGUUGUUAAUUUCAGUUGAGUUACCACAUAAGAGUGGUGCCAUGUAAUAAAGGAGGUGCUAGACCACAUGGAAAUUUACCAAAGGGGAUGUGCUGAAACCUGGUUACAAAUUUCCCGGAAGCCCUCACCCACCUCAAAGAUACAAAAGUGUCAGGUUUGAGAGAUGAAAGAGGAAUUUCUGAGGAGGAUCACUUAGAAAAGAACUGCUUGAGUCCAGUUCCCAAGGGGAAGAGGGGACACUGCUACCUCCUGCACUAUGAAGUCAGAUUCAUUUCCAAAAUCCUGUACUUGACAUGACAAAAUUUGCAGUGUAGAACAAAGACUGGUAAACUUCAACUGGAAAUGACCAGAAAGUGCAUAUUUUAGCCAUUGUACACCACAUAUUUUCUGUUGGAGCUACUCAACUCUGUAAUAGCAUGGAAGCAGCUAUAGACAAUACGUAAAUAAGUGUACAUGACUGUGUUUCAAUAAACUUUAUUGGACACUGAGGGCACCAAAAUUUGAAUUUCAUAUAAUUUCUAAUAUGCCAUGAAACAUUAUUCUUCUCUUUUUUUUUUUUCAACCACUUAAAAAUGUAAACAUCAUUCUUAGCUUCUGGACCAUACAAAAACAGUCAGCGGGCAGGAUUUGUUUGGCUUUCACAGUUUCCCAACUGUUGGUGUAGAACAGGGGCAUCCAAUCUUUUGACUUCCCUGGGACACACUGGAAAAAGCAGCAUUGUUUUGGGCCACACAUAAAAUACACUAACACUAACGACAGCUGAUGAGCUUACAAAAAUCACUAAAAAAAAUCUCAUAAUGUUUUAAGAAACUUUAAAAAUUUGUAUUGAGCUGCAUUCAAAGCUGUCCUGGGUGACAUGCAGUCCCAGAGCUGUCAGUUGGACGAGCUUGGUGUAGAACACAAUUUAGUACUGAGUGGUUCAGAUGUAACAAUAACAGAAGUGUAAGGAAAAGAGAUACAUCACUGAGAUCCCUUCACAGAAAAGUCAAAACUUAAAUUGAAUCUGGAAGACAGUAAAAUAAUUUGGAUGAAAGGAAAAAGGGAUAUUUCCAGUCAGCAAUAGCAUGAUGAGUUCAGUGUGGUAUUUAAUAAAUAAUGAGAUUAUGCCGAGUAGAGCAGACAGCCCUUAUCCACCAGCUAUUGGGUAUCUGUUGAGUAUAUAUGUAUAUGUAUACACUCAACAUGUAGUGUUGCAUAUAUAUAUAUACACACACACAUAUAUGUGUGUGACCAUAAAGUAGGUAAAAUGUAAAUAUUGCUUCUCCAUCUCUCUCUUCUAUUCUUGUAGAACUGCUUUUAGAAAAAUAUUGAACCUUUACCUUCUAGCCUUCAUGACUCAAAUUUUCUUCUAAAAUUUUCUUCUCUGUACUUCUUUGAUCUUUAUUCUGGAUUAUUUCCUCAGAUCUGUUUUCUAGUAUCUAAUUCUUCUUCUUAAUUGUGUCUAAUCUCGUGUGUAACACUUUCAUUGAGGUUUUAAUAUCAACGGCUUACAUGGGUUAUUCUAAAAUUCCAUUUUUUCCAAAAUCUUCCUUUUCUAGUUUCAUAGUGUCAUUUUUUUCUUAAACAAAUUAAACAUACUUAUUUCAAACCAUAUUUUAGAUUUUUAAAUUAUCUUUAGUUUUUAGAGUGUUAAUUUUCUGGGUUCAUUGCCAAUGAAGGUUUGUUUCUUUGCUUUAUAAUUUUUGAUAGUAAACUGACAUUCAAUAGCUUUUGACCUGAGAGACUCUCAUGCUCAGGCUUAUGAAAACUUCCCUACAAAGUGGUUUUGCAUUUGGCCCUGCCAAGCCCACAGGAGUGUUACCCAUUUCAUAACCAUUUCUACCUUCAUUUCUUAGCUUCUGUACCAUAUAGAUAGUAUGAAUUUGGAUCCCGCAACUACAAAGAGUGCAGGUUUGAGUCUGAUAAUUUAUGAGUGAUUAUUUGCGUGGCCCCUAGCAUAACCGACAGGUCUUUGACACCUCCCUGGCCAAUGAUCGGUCUUUCCUACACCCUGUGUUGUCGAGGAUGCAGGGUUCAGUUCUAGCUCCUUACCUUAUCCAGGCCUGAAGCUUUCUUUCCUGUCCCAGAAAUGGCAUUACAACUUCAGUCCUGCCCUCAGGUCCAGGGUUUCGAAUGUCUACCGACCAUCACUUUCUGUGCUGGCACCAGGGAAUUUUCCCUGUUUGAGUUUACCGAUACAUUUCAUACAUUUUUAAAACAAUAUUUUAUCUAGGAUUACUUGGAGGGUAAAAGGAGACUUGCCAUUCACUUCUAUCUGAGAAAUUAUCCAGAAGACCCAGUGGCUUUUAUUUUCAAGGUGACAAGAGAAACCCAUGUGAGGACUAAGAGGGUGAAGAUUUUAAAUGUGGAAAGGAAGAAAGCAAAGAUUUGAAAAAGGCAGAAAAAUAAGAUCCCAUCAGAGAAACAGAGGACUAAGAGGUCUCUGUAGGUAGAUGUUUUAUAUGUUUAACUUUUUAUUUGGAAAUAAUUUUACAUGUACAGAAGAUUUGUAAAGAUAGCAACGAGCUCCCAUAUACCCUUCCCUCAGCUUCUUCUAAUGUUAGCAUCUUACAUGACCAGGGUACAAUGAUCAAAAGUAAGAAAUUAACAUUGGUACAAUAUCAUUACCUGAAUUACAGACUUUAUCAGAUUUUGCCAGUUUUCCACUAAUGUCCUUUUUCUGUUCCUGGGUCCAAUCUGGGAUUCCACAUUGUAUUUAAUUCUUCAUCAUCUUAGUCUCCUCCAAUCUGGGAGAAUUCCUUGUCUUUCAUGAUACUCUUGAGAAAUACCUGUCAGGUAUUUUGUAAAAUACUCCUCAAUUUGCAUUUGUUUGGUUUUUUUCUCAUGAUCAGAUUGAGGCUAUGUAUUCAUGGGAAAGAUACCCCAGAGGUGAGGUGCUCUUUUCUUUUUUUUUUUUGAGACGGAGCCUCGCUCUGUCGCCCAAGCUGGAGUGCAGUGGCUUGAUCUGGGCUCACUGCAAGCUCCGCCUCCCGGGUUCACGCCGUUCUCCUGCCUCAGCCUCCCUGGUAGCUGGGAUUAGAGGCGCACGCCGCCACGCCCGGCUAUUUUUUUGUGUGUUUUUAGCAGAGAUGGGGUUUCAUCGUGUUAGCCAGGAUGGUCUUGAUCUCCUGACCUCGUGAUCUGCCCGUCUCAGCCUCCUAAAGUGCUGGGAUUACAGGCGUGAGCCACCGCACCCAGCUGAGGUGCCCUUUUCAGUGCAUCAUAUUCGCGGUACCUGUUGUCAGUAUGUCUUAUUACUGGUGAUGUUGACCUUGAUCAUUUGGCUAAUGUGCUGUUUACCAUGCUUUUUAAUUAUUGUAAAGGUUUGUUUUGUUUUUGUUGUUGUUGUUGUUGUUGUUUUUGAGACAGAGUCUUGCUCUGUCGCCCAGGCUGGAGUGCAGUGGCACAAUUUUGGCUCACUGCAACCUCUGCCUCCUGGGUUCAAGCAAUUCUCCUGCCUCAGCCUCCCGAGUAGCUGGGAUUACAGGGUGCCCACCACCAUGCCCGACCAAUUUUUUGUAUUUGUAGUAGAGACGGGGCUUCACCAUGGUGGCCAGGCUGGUCUUGAACUCCUGACCUCAUGAUCCACCCACCUCAGCCUUCCAAAGUGCUAGGAUUACAGGUGGAAGCCACCGCACCUGGCCCCAAAUAACCAUUUUUCUCCCAUAACAUUGUCCAUUAAUUUAUGCAUACAUAGGCAGAUCCUCCCUGCAGCAAUGUUUCACCAGUGUUCUGGUGUUCUCACAAUGAUUUUCUAUUUCCUCCUUUCCUUUUACAUCUAUUAUUUGGAAUUAUUCUGUAAGAAGUUGUCCUUUCUCUACCAUUUACUUUUAUUCAAUCAUUUAUUUAUAUCAGUAUGGACUAAAUUGUGUUUAUUUUAUUCUGCUUCAUAAUUCAAUGUUUUAUUUUGUCUUCGAAAUUGUUCUAGCUGUGGCCAUUGGAAGCUCUUUUAGGUUGGCUCCUGUGUCCUCUCAGUGUGCUCCCACCCUUUUCUUGAGUACUUACUUUUUGGUACCAUGACAUCCUCCAAGCUCAUCUUCCUUCAUCCCUGCCCCAGCCCUAGACAAAUCACUUUUCCAAGGAGCUCUAUAAUUGUAUUAAACCACAGUGGUAGAUAGUUUGAACCCUCUCCUUUCAUUCAGGGAAUGAGAACAGAGUCAGCAAAGCAGCUAAGGAACUUUAGGUAAGUCCAACAUUCAGAGACUGAGUAGAGAAGGGGUUGGGAGCCAACAAAGGAAAAGAGAAGGAACCACCAAAGAAAUGGGAGCAAACUCAGAGCAUGGUAUCAGAGAAGCUGAGAAGACAUCCUCAGCUCUAACCUCAGGGUCCCCCAUCAUUUCCUACCUGAUCUAUUUCCCACCUUCAUCUAUUCCCUCUCUAGGAAAACAGGAAUUUUCCAGGCAGAUAUCCUUACUGUCCUGGCCUAACCACAUCCCUAACUCUGCUGGAACUGCAGUAAACAUAGCCACAACCAGCAAAUUCAGCCCUAAGGACUUUAGACCUUCAUCUCACAAGCUGAAAUAUUUUCCCCUCCUCUCUCCUAACCAAAUAUCACUCAUCUUUCCAAAGCCAGGCAAGUCACAACUUUUCUUGAACCUUUUUCCAAACUCUCAGCCUACAUUUAUCCACUGUUUUUUUAAUAAAUAUCAUGGUUCUUAUCUCUUCAGUCAUUUCAGUACUUGCAAUAUAUUCUCUAAAAAUUUUUUGUUUCAUAUAAUUUAUUACCCAACAAUACUGUAGUUCCUUCAGGUGAGAGCCCAUACUUCAUGCUGUCUGGUAUGCACAGUAGUUAGUAAUAUCUAACUAAUAAUAGACAUUUAGUAAAUAUAUGUCAGUUUAACAUUUAUAUCAACAAAUCAACCACUAUAGAUAGUCAUCAAAAAAAUAGUUGAAAACUGGGAAGAUUCCAGCAGCUAUCUUAUCUAUUCAGGAAUGUUAAAAAGUACUCCUUAAGAAACAAAAUUGGAAUAGCUAUCAAAUUCCUUAUGGCCUUAGUCAUACUACAAGAAAAUGUAACCCUGAGCCACAGCAAUUCUUAUUUCUCAUCAGAAAAUAAUUUGUCAGGAUAUUUAUGGCUUAUCUAUUCAUAAAGUAAGUCAUUAUGGUAUUUUACACAACCCUUUCUUGCUUUGUUUUAGAACAACUACCUAAUUUUCUAUUUUCAAAAUCAACUACUUGUUAUGGAAUAACUAAUAUGUAAAGCUAUUAAAUUUUCAAAGGACAAAUGGAAGCAUAUUAAUGGAAUUCAUUUUUUAAAGGUGAAUGAUUAUUUUCCAUAUUAAAAACAUAAUGCUUCUUUGUCGAACGGUCAAGAAAAUACGUAUGAGAAAAAAAUGUAUUUCAUAAUCCCAUACCCCAAAUCAGAGACCACUAACAUUUCAUUGUAUAAUAUACCAUAUGUACAUAUAUGGGGGUGGUGUAUGAGAUGAUUUUAUGCAAAUUAUUUUGUAACUUACCUUUUUCACUUAAUGUUUAGUAUUUUCUCACAUUACUAAAUAAGUUUCUACAUUAUCUCUUUGUGGUAGCGAAUGGAAUGUCAGAUUGAAUGUAUCUUCAUUUACUAAACUUCCAAUAUGUGCCACACUGUGAUAAAUAUUCUUAUGCUAAAUUGGGAGCAAAACUGGGAACACAACCAUAAUUAUUUCAUUAGUAUAAAUUUAUAAAAGUAAAUCUCUCUGUAUGAAUAGCUUUAUACAGCUUACGGGUUUUUGUGUUUUGUUUUUUAAUGACCAGUGCCCACCUGCCCAUCAGAAAGGUUGUGCCAAUUUACCAUUAUUAGUAGUUAAAGCAACUUUCAGAUACUAUAUCAUUUCAUAUUUCUAAAAAAAAACCAUGUAUCUUUCUGAAGAGUCUCUAUAAAGAUGAUGAAGUAAUGCUACAUUUUCUUUUAUCUACUAUGGGAGCGCCCUUUUUCCCUUCAACUUUUAUACAUUUUUAAGUAUUUUGCUUCCUAAUAUAAAAAAUGCAAAACAACACACAUUAUUUAGCAUGAGUAGCAAAGAAAGCACAAGGUCAUCUGAGCAAUAUAGUCAAGAGAACAUGGCUGCAGCUAAGGAACAAUAAUAAAAUUGAUUAAUCAAGCUCCUAAUUGUAAAUAUCUUAUCAAGAAAAAUUAUCUUAAAGUAAGUUUUUCUGCUUUCUUUGGUAUUAUUAGUGUAUUUGCAUGAAAGAUAAUAUUUUGCGCUUUUAUUUGAGAUUUACCAUUUUUUCUUAUAAAAGAGAAUCAAGCUUAGCCAACACCUGCAAGUGCACAAACCCAUCAUGGAAAGAUAGCUGACACAUUUGAAGUAAGAAAUAAUGAUGUUUCCCAGUAGAAAUGUGAUCAUUAGUUAUUUAUUUGUAUUUAUACUCAUUUAUACACUAACCUUUACACAAAAAAUUUUAGACAGCAAAUUUAUAUUUUAAAUAACAGAAUAACAAAAUAAUUGGUUAAACUUAUUAUUUUAAACAAACCAAUAAUUCCAAGACAAAGAGAAAUACAAAUAUGUCAAUAUGAUAGCUCUGCUUGAAUUUAAAAUUUGAUUCCAUGAAUUGUCUGCUCCUAUUUGAGCCACAGGUCUUCACUGCUAAGAAACAUAUCAAACUUAACUUAAUAAAAAACAUUAAAAUGACAAUUGAAUAAUUUUCAAUUAUUAAUACUUAUUGCAAGAGAAAAAUGUACACAAGUACUUAAAAGAAACAAAUGGUUAAUAUAUAAACUUUUCCAUUUCUAUAGAUAAAAGUCAGAAGAGCAGUGUUGGACUAAGAUUACUUUUGAACAACUUUUGAAACAUUUGAUCAGGCUGCAGUUAAAAACCAGCCCACUUUCCCCUUCAAAGAUCUGAAAGGCAGAGGAUAAAAUCAACAUUUUCCUUUCUACUCGCCCAGCAUCAAUCAUGGGUGACAAUCUCUACAAGAUUGCUUUAAGUUGAACAAUCUUUUAAACUAAUAUCGUAUUCUUAAAGAGAGAUGAAGUUGGCAUCUAAGAAAAAAAGAAACACUUUAUUGAUCCCUAAAGAGAUGUUAAGAAAGCCAAAGAUCACAUAAGCAGUCUGUUUGGCAGUGGCAACAACAUAAGGAAAAGCUAUCACUGAACAUGACAGGGCCUACCAGGAUGCAGAGAUCUGCACAUACAAUCCCAUUUUGCUAUUUGUAAUAUUAUUUAUAUUUCCUGCAAAUUGGACAAUAUACAUUUGGUAAGUCAAACAAAGUUGCUUCUAAAACAAAGAAAUACUGGGCAAAAGAACUGAUAAGUGAUUAGCAAAGUCAGGUCUACUCCCAUCAAGCACACACAAUAUUUAUAAGACAUGUACCGUGUGAUAUUGCUAGAGUGGCUACAGGACCGCUGAGCAAGACUCAUGCUUCUCGAAAAAUGCCUCCCAGUUUAAAUGCUAAGAGAGUGGCUCUGUAAAUGCAUGUUACACUUUGGAAGCUCCUAAUAUUGUGGAGUAAAAAUACACACAUCUGCAUGCGAAAUGCUUUAUUCUCUCAUUUUAAUUUUCCAAAUUUUAAAACGUAUUUUUUAUUGGUAUGAGUUGUCUCUAUGAUUUGAGCAAAUUAUCUGUUUUUCUAGCUUACAUGUUUGGAAGAGUGUUUUUUUGGUAGACUAAGAGUAUGAAUUUAAAAAAUGAAAUAUUAUUUUCCAGGAACCAUAGUCAUUACAAACUUUUGGAGGAAGAAAAAAAAUUCAUGUAAAUUGGUACUGUGCAACUCAGUAAUUCUGAGAGCUUUAGUUCCUUCUUAGUAGAGAAUGAAUUGUGUGUGUGUGUGUGAAAGGAUGUGACUAAAUACGGUGAGUCUUACUGAGAACUUAAAAUUAAACUCCAGAAGCAGCUUCACUUAUACCCAGUGAAUGCCUAAGUAGUCCAUCUUUUACUGCAUCUCAUUAUGUGCAAUAAUGUCAUAUUUUGAUUAAUGUGUUUCUUCUUUGUUUUUGUUUCUGGCCUUAUAGAUAUAUGGUAUAUCUCCUAUAUCUUUUAAAUCUCUGACCAGUAAGCACUUUCCUUUUCUGACUGUACAGAGGAGAGAGAAAAUACUUUAGAAAGGACCCCAGACUCUUGCUUCUCAAAGACCAGCAUCAUGGCAUCAUCUAGUAACUUUUUAUAAAAUCAGAUUCAUGGGCCCCUCCCCAAACAUACUGAAUCUCAACCUACUUUAAACAAGAUCCCCAAGAGAUGCAAACACAA
ensembl:lncRNA